rnacentral:rRNA from 1 species
UACAGAGGGUGCGAGCGUUAAUCGGAAUUACUGGGCGUAAAGCGUGCGUAGACGGUUAUUUAAGUCGGGUGUGAAAGCCCCGGGCUCAACCUGGGAAUUGCAUUCGAGACUGAAUAGCUAGGGUACGGUAGAGGGAAGUGGAAUUUCCGGUGUAGCGGUGAAAUGCGUAGAUAUCGGAAGGAACAUCAGUGGCGAAAGCGGCUCACUGGGUCUUUUCUGACGCUGAUGCACGAAAGCUAGGGGAGCAAACGGG